rnacentral:misc_RNA from 1 species
GGUUUGCCAGUUUAAAACUUCUUCUGUAGGGGUGAUUGGCAAGGGUUGGCCUUCAGGAGAAACUUUUGAUGAUUGAAUAAAAGGCCUGGUAGAAAUCUUUGUUUUUGAAUCAGUUUGUUGGCUAAGAGGAGGGUAUUUUGUUUCAUAGGUAGGUGUAAACAUCAUACAAGGUGAAACAAGGGGUAAGGUAGGAAGAGGUUUUGGUGGAUCAGGCUCAAACUCCUCGGGAUCUUCAGGAGGAAGAAUUCCUUCUUUCCUCAAGAUCUCUAAAGCAAGAUCAUAUAUGGGCAAAGGCUUUUUCUUUUUGGUUUCUUCUUGGAUUCCUAUCCACGGGCCAUUGUCAAGAUGAUCUUGUUGAAAAUGUUGUUGUUGCUGAGAUUUACAAGAAACUCUGGAGGUUUUUUUGAGUUUUCUCCAGUUCUUGUCAGAGAGUGGGUGAUCAUAUUCUCGUGCCCAGUAGUUGUCACAACAAUCACACUCUGGGUCGCAUUCACCAGAUCCCAGGGACAAUGUUUAUUUAUCAGCUUUGGAUAAAUAUAAUGACCAUCUCCAGAAAGAGCACAGAUUGGAAAUUCUUUAUGCUCUUUAGUCAUAGGCUGAAGCAUCAUUGUUUGGAAAAUAGGGACAGACCCCAUCGAGUGCCGAGCGGGCUGGAAAGAGGUCUGGACAGUCCCAUCUGGUCUCCUUUGGAAGGAAGAUUCAGUAAUUUGUAUUGGAUGAGAGGUGGCAUGAAUCUUUUCAUAAUUAGUCAACCAAUCUUUAGGAAUGAGUUACUCCAACUCAUUUCUUGGCAGCUGUCUAGGGAUUUGUACAAUAGUAGGGGUGGUCUCUGUAUCAGCCAAUACUAGCAGAGCGUCAGUAGAUACUGAUGCUUGGCCUGGAUCUACCGCAUGAUCUUGGAGUCUGUAAAUGAUCUGAUGGUGUAUUGUGGCCAUCAUUGAGGAUGCCACUUGUUCAGCUCCAGUCAGCUGUACUUGAACCUUUAAAGCAUAGCAUAGAUUAACAUCCCGGAGUGACAUGUUGUAAUUGGGGAAGAAAGUAAAGACAACACUACCAGCAUGUAGUGUGGUCAAACAUGUGUCAAUAACUGCAUGUUCAUGCUGUAAAAAGCGAGUGUCUAGAAGAGAGACACGUGCAGUAACAGGAAGACCUCUUCGUCCAUGUAGAGUGAGGAUGAGACGAACAGCUCCAAAAUGAAGGUGAGAAUAUCCUUCAUUUCUCCAUCGAGGAACCAGGGGAGAAGCAAUCUCCAAUGUAACAUAUUGUUCUACAGAAGUACUUUGGAGACUACACUGAUCCAUCUUUGAAGCUUGAAUAUAUUCUUUAGGAAGAGAUCGACGAGUGGAAAUAAGAGAUCUGAU